GUGAGGUGGCAGCAGGGCCUGAGCCCCGGCUGCUGUCACCCCUGUGCCCUCUGCCCUCAUGUGUCCCUCGCCCUGGCCCUGGAGUCGUGGCAGAGGGCCUGCCUUGGCCCAAGGCCCCAGGACAGGCGCAUGGCUUCCCAGCGUGCGUGUCAGCCCACCAUCGUGAGCUCUGGAGACGGCGUGGCCCUCAGCCCCGCCCUGCCUCCCUCGCCCCAGUGCCCAGAGAAUGGAAUAAUGGAAUCCGCCUCCUGGGAUUCUGAGGCCAGAGUGAAGACUUCCCGUGGGGCUGUUGGGGUGACCCGAGCUGUGCCGGCGACUGCAGGACAGCUCCUGGGUGUCCCGUCCUGCUCUCUCCCUCCCCACCUUGGCUCAGUUCCCAUGGAGGCCCCUCCUGCCACCCACUGCGCACCCUGGGGUCGCCUGUCCACCCCCAGAGAGUCACAGGCGGGGAGCUGGCCCCAGGAGUCCGGAGGGGGCUCCCUGCUGCUCCUUCUGUUCUGCGUAUCUAGCGAGGGGGCCUCGGUGUCCCUGCCCCUGCCAGCACGGCUGCUCCCUUCUCCACAGCAAGGAAGGGCAGGACAGGCUGCUGACUGAGGGGACAACACAGCCCACCAGUGAAAGCCAGCUGAGGGCUGUGGUCCUCUUCCUGUGCUGGGCCAACGUGUGUCUGUGUCCCCACCCACUGGCCACCGCCGGCACCUGGGGUCCCUCUGCACCCCAGGGUGAGCCCAGGCAUUGCCUUGGCAACGCAAAGUUUCCCAGUGAAGCAGAAAGUUCCACCAUGGUUUGUGAUGGGGCUGACACCAGGAGAAGGUUGCCAGGGCAACGGGAGUAUUUCCGUGGACCUCGGGUCUCGGUGUGGGGAGACUGUCUUGCAGGCAGGCUCACCGGGGGCCUUGCUGGGCUCCAUGAGGUCCUGAGGAGGGGCGCGCCCCAGCCCUUCUGGUCCCCAGGCCAGGAGCUGAGCUUGGGGCUCGCUGCUCUGGACCUCCUCUCCGGCCCUGUUCCCCGAGGAUGAGGUCAGGGCUCUGGCCGUCCUUUGUCAGCAGGCCCUCGGAGUAGGGGGGAACCUGAGGUGUGACCCCAGCCUCCCAUGGUGCACUGGCUUCUGGGGCCUCAGGUGCCACCCACACGCGUGGCCCCUGGCCACUUCUGCUGGGCCAGCCUUGAGGACAGCAGCCUGGACUCGGGUCAGGGCCGCACUCAGGGGCCUGGACCAAGCCCCGCAGCGAUCUGCUCUCCUGGUUCCCCAGGCUCAGCAACCUUCGUGUCUGCCCAGCCCAAGCGGCUCCCCUGUCCUUAAACUCAGUCAUCCCAGACGGUGCCGCAUGGCCAUACAGCCGCUUGGAGUUGCAUCGGCUCCACACGCGCCGUGCCUCUGUCCCUCCCCACUUUCUGCCCAAGUACAGGAC
rnacentral:lncRNA from 1 species